rnacentral:rRNA from 1 species
ACCGCCUGCUAUCAGAGUGGGACUAAGCCAUGCGAGUUAACGUAGCAAUACGUGGCAUACGGCUCAGUAACACGUAGUCAACAUGCCCAGAGGACGUGGAUAACCUCGGGAAACUGAGGAUAAACCGCGAUAAGUCAUGAUUCCUGGAAUGGUUCAUGGCUGAAAUCUAUAUGGCCUUUGGAUUGGACUGCGGCCGAUCAGGCUGUUGGUGAGGUAAUGGCCCACCAAACCUGUUACCGGUACGGGCUCUGAGAGGAGGAGCCCGGAGAUGGGCACUGAGACAAGGGCCCAGGCCCUAUGGGGCGCAGCAGGCGCGAAACCUCUGCAAUAGGCGAAAGCUUGACAGGGUUACUCUGAGUGAUUUCCGUUAAGGAGACCUUUUGACACCUCUAAAAAUGGUGUAGAAUAAGGGGUGGGCAAGUCUGGUGUCAGCCGCCGCGGUAAUACCAGCACCCCGAGUGGUCGGGACGAUUAUUGGGCCUAAAGCAUCCGUAGCCGGUCCUACAAGUCUUCCGUUAAAUCCACCUGCUCAACAGAUGGGCUGCGGAAGAUACUAUAGGGCUAGGAGGCGGGAGAGGCAAGCGGUACUCAGUGGGUAGGGGUAAAAUCCUCUGAUCCAUUGAAGACCACCC